UGGGGAAUAUUGCACAAUGGGGGAAACCCUGAUGCAGCGACGCCGCGUGAACGAAGAAGGUAUUCGUAUCGUAAAGUUCUGUCCUAUGGGAAGAUAAUGACAGUACCAUAGAAGAAAGCUCCGGCUAAAUACGUGCCAGCAGCCGCGGUAAUACGUAUGGAGCGAGCGUUGUCCGGAAUUAUUGGGCGUAAAGGGUACGCAGGCGGUUUAAUAAGUCGAAUGUUAAAGAUCGGGGCUCAACCCCGCAAAGCAUUGGAAACUGAUAAACUUGAGUAGUGGAGAGGAAAGUGGAAUUCCUAGUGUAGUGGUGAAAUACGUAGAUAUUAGGAGGAAUACCAGUAGCGAAGGCGACAUUCUGGACACAAACUGACGCUGAGGUACGAAAGCGUGGGGAGCAAACAGG
rnacentral:rRNA from 1 species